CCCCUUUCACUUGGCUCUCAUUCUUCUUGUCUGCUGCCAUAUGAGAUGUACCUUUCACCCUCCACCAUGAUUGUGAGGCCUCUCCAGCCACAUGGAACUGACAGCACAUGUGGCUUUCCUGCAAUGGGAUCGUCCUUCAAGAGGACCUCACAGGCUCUCCACCCGGACUGUGACGUUCAAAAUGCAGCUGCAUCUGUGCAGAAACCAGGUGUUGCCUGUGAGUUCUGCCUCGCUGGCCAGAGGUGGAAGGAAGGAGGAAAGGAGAGGGGCCUCCAUACUUCCAGAGCCCCACUGGGGGUUACCUUCGCUUGCCCCCACUCUUUUUGUCUUGCUCUGAGGAUGCCAGGACUUUAAGGACAUUGUCAGCGAGCACAGAAAGAAUCUCAGUCAUCUGGACUGCUUUGUGCUAUAUGAAAAUCUCUGAGAACCUUCAAGAGCCCAAAAACAGUUCUCCUCCAUGCUGUAUGCCAUGGUCAGUGGUUAAAGAGAACAUUUUGUUCCACUCCUCCAGCUCUGCCUUAGAAACCCAAGCCCUGCACUCCAAGGCUCCUGGCAUCGUACACCAGCACCAGCAAUUUUCUGCCAAAAGCAUCAGCCAAAAUCUAUUCUAUCUAUUUCAGUUCCUCUCUUUUCAUCGGAUUGUAUUUUUACAGGUGAUUGCUGAUUCUCACACUGCUCUUCAGAUUCAUGUACAGCUGUGGUCUGAAUGUGUGUGUUUUCUCAAAAUUCAAGUUUAAAACUUAAUCCUCAAUGUGAUAGUAUCAACAGCUGCGGCCUUUUGGAAAGUGAAGGUGGAGCCCUCGUGAGUGGGAUUAGAGCUCUUAUAAAAGAGAUUGAAGGGAGCUACCUAGCCCUUCCAUCUCUUCUGCCUUGUGAGGACACAGUGUUCAUCCCUUUUGUCUUCCCACCAUUUGAAGAUGCAGAAAGAAGGUGCCAUCUUGGAAGCAAAGAGCAGCCCUCACCAGACACCAAGUCUGCUGGCACCUUGAUCUUGGACUUCCCAGCCUCCAGGACUGUGAGAAAUGAAUUUCUGUUGUUUAUAAAUUACCUAGUCUAAGGUAUGCUGUUACAGUAGCAGGAAUGGACUAAGACACACAUUGUCAAAAUCUUCAUGAGUUAAAGGUGAAGGUACAAUCAGAACUGGUGCAUGGAAUUGGAACCAUAGGUCUUAGUAAACACUGUAAAAAUGCACUAUUCAAAUCUACAGAAAAUGCUCUCUCUUCAAGUUCAGAAAGAAGCUACAAUCUGCUUUUCCUUUUUUUCUGAAGAUGUGGGGAACGAAAUUGGAUCUUGUGCUUUUGGGUGCUAACUUUGAGCCCUCUUCCUUUACAUCUAAAUGACAAUUUGUGGAUCAAUGAGGAUGUGUCAACUAGCCAAGAUCGAGGACCUGGAGGGGUGCUCUGUGGAAACUGCUUUAAAAUCCUUCAGAGGGUGGGCACGGAGCUCUGGUUCUGGUUGAAGAGUCCUGUCAAGGCCAUCUCAAAAGGAGAAGCAAAGCCUGCAGAGGAGGCCAGCCUGAGUCCUGGGGUGCGAACGGGUGCUGCGCUCAGCAUGAGGAGGAGGAGACCCUGGCCACAGUUCCAUGAAUCUUUGCUCCCUUCCACAUUAUGGAUUCUGGCUAAGAAGAUUUUCAUCUUUCACCACCUGUUCUGGAUUCUUGGAACAGGUAAAUUCAUUGGCCUACGCAAGUCUGAGCUCUAGGUCUGAACCCGCAUGGACCUGAGGGUGCACCGAGAAAAGAAAGGCUGACAACUGGAUCCCGGGAAUGUCAAGGCCACCCUGGGCUUGAAGGGACCGGCCAUGCCUCCAAGCCUUGCCCAGAGAGGGGGUUCAGGAUGCUGCGUGGUUCCAGGUGAUCUAUUGCUUUCUCGAGUUUAAAGUUCAGAGGAUCAUGAAGUACCACAGCUGGAAGGGGUGUAAGUGACACUGCCUAGCCUAACUCUCUUAAAAAUCAUAGCCCUACUCCUGCCUCCCCAAAUCAGAUACGACAGGCAUAGGCUCUGACUGUUCCUUAAGUCUUAGUGGCAAUACUCCCUGACCAGUUUUGCGGGGUUGCUCCCAGUUCCAUUGCUUUUGUAACAGGUGGCCAGAAAGCCUGGGGUCCCGUGAUAAGAGUUUCAGUUCUUUCCAGGAUGGAUGGAAAGAAGGAAGGAAGGAUGGAUGGAUGGAUGAAUGAAUGAGCGGGUGAGCGGAUGGAUGGAUGGAUGGAUGGAUGGAUGGAUAGAUGGGCCAGAGACUGGGAACGGUAAUGCCGGCCAGACGGGUCCGAGCGCCUCGGGAGCCCCAGCCCUCCUCCGGCUGCGGGGCCGCUGCUCCUGCUCCCGGGCCGUCACGGAGCCCUGAGGGAGGGG
rnacentral:lncRNA from 1 species